rnacentral:rRNA from 1 species
CCUAGUAAGCACAAGUCACUAGCUUGUGCUGAUUACGUCCCUGCCCUUUGUACACACCGCCCGUCGCUACUACCGAUUGAAUGGCUCAGUGAGGCCUUCGGAUCGGAGGUGAGGACUAGCAAUAGACCUUACUCUCGAGAAGUUGGUCAAACUUGGUCAUUUAGAGGAAGUAAAAGCCGUAACAAGGUUUCCGUAGGUGAACCUGCGGAAGGAUCAUUACCAAUCUUUAGUGAGCCUGGACUUGUUCAUGGUCUCGCGAAAUCUUGUAUUUAAAACCUACUCUUAAUAAUUAAAAAAAAUGUAUUAAUGAUAAAUUAAGAUCACUUUCAACAACGGAUCUCUUGGCUCUCGCAUCGAUGAAGAACGUAGCGAAGUGCGAUAAGUAGUGUGAAUUGCAGAAUUCCGUGAAUCAUCGAAUUUUUGAACGCAAAUUGCACUCCCUGGCAUUCCGGGGAGUAUGCCUGUUUGAGGGUCAGUUUAAAUAAAAUUGACGUGUCGCUUUUGUGACAUUUCGGAUUUGGGUUGUCUUAACCUUUUAGGUUAAGAGGCCUGAAAUUAAUAAUUUUUUUGCGCAUCCUAGACGUGUAUAAAUCGCUUAUCCGUUUUUGGGUGGUAACCUCUUUAUUAGGUAUGGUCACUUUGUAUGAUCUCGUACCUAUAAUUUUUCAUGAUUUGACCUCAAAUCAGGUAGGAGUACCCGCUGAACUUAAGCAUAUCAAUAAGCGGAGGAAAAGAAGAUAACAAUGAUUCCCCUAGUAACUGCGAGUGAAGAGGGAUAAGCUCAAAUUUUAAAUCUGUCAGGUGUUACCUGACCGAGUUGUAAUUUGAAGAAGCGUUUUCCGCGCGUUCUGGCCAGCCCAAGUUCCUUGGAACAGGGCAUCAUGGAGGGUGAGAAUCCCGUUUGGUUGGUCAGCUGCGUUUUAUGAUACGCUUUCAAAGAGUCAAGUUGUUUGGGAUUGCAGCUUAAAAUGGGAGGUAAAUUUCUCCUAAGGCUAAAUAACGGCGAGAGACCGAUAGCGAACAAGUACCGUGAGGGAAAGAUGAGAAGCAUUUUGAAAAGAAAGUCAAAUAGUACGUGAAAUUGUUGAAAGGGAAAUGAUUGAAGUCAGUCGUACCGAUGGGCAUUCAACUUCUCGGGCGCGAUUAUGUUGGGUGUUGGGGAGCUUAACCGCCCUCGUGCUUGCGUAUUUGUGUCCUUGAGGUGUACUUGUCCGUAUGGUAAGUUAACAUCAAUUUUGGUUGUCAUAAAAUGACUGGAGGAAUGUAGCUUCGAUCUCGUAUUGAAGUGUUAUAGCCUCUGGUAGAUGUGAUGAUCGGGAUUGAGGAUUGCAACGAACCCUUCGGGGCUACCUGUCUGGCCUCUGGUGGUCGCUCUGGUACCGAAAGCGUGCUUACGGUUACCAAAGUUGGUUGCCAAAAGGUUAGAACGGGAUAAUUUCGUUAAGGAUGUUGACGUAAUGGCUUUAAACGACCCGUCUUGAAACACGGACCAAGGAG